UUUUUAGUAUAAGUAUGUCCCAUACAAUACUUGGGACAUACUUACACUAAAA
rfam:Equus caballus chromosome 1, whole genome shotgun sequence.